rnacentral:rRNA from 1 species
AUGCUAACUUGGAAGUUGAUGGCAGCAACGCUACUGCUGUUGCUGCUGCCGGCGCUGGCCGCCACCGCUCCAGCUCCUGCAGCGGCGCCCAUGAUAGGGAUGCCGGACUGCGACACAACCUGCGGCAACGUGAGCGUGCCGUAUCCGUUCGGGGUGGGCCCACCCCGUUGCUACCACUCGCCGGGGUUCAACCUCAGCUGCGACCGCAGAAGUGACCCCCCUUGGCUGUUGCUCGGCGACGGCGGCAUGCUGCAAGUCGACCACAUCAGCCUCUUGGAGUCCAAGGUUCUUGUCAAACGCACCGCCGGUGUCAGCGGCUCGUUCCGCGUUAACCUCCGGCCCUACAGGCUGUCAGCUGGCUCAGGCUCAGGCUCAGGCUCAGGCGCCGGGAAUGAGCUCAUUCUGACAGGCUGCAACGUCCGGGCAACGCUCAAGAACGGAGACGCCACUAUAGGCGGCUGCUCCUCCUUGUGCGACGACGGAGACGGGCCCUUGCUGUCCAGGCCUGAGAGCCGCAUGCUCUGCUCCGGCAUAGGCUGCUGCCACGUGGCCAUCGUCGUCAACCACCAGACGGCGGCGGUUUUCUCCUACGACGUGCAGCUGGAGUGGUUCGGUCGGAACCGCAGCGCCGACGAGGCACGGAUGCCGGCGCGAGUGUUCGUGGCCAGCGAGGGAUGGGUCGAGCAGAGGCGGGUUUUAAACCGUCUGUUGAAAAUCCCCUCCAAGGACGCUCUGGCGGUGGCGGCAGUGCCCCUUUGGCUGGACUGGGAGGUCGGCCUGGGCGGUGCUACGGCUGGCAGCAACAGCGAGUGCCACGUAGGUACGGGAGGAGGAGGAGGCUAUACAUGCCGGUGUAAAGAAGGUUACCAUGGCAAUCCCUACAUCACCGACGGAUGCAAAGAUAUCAACGAGUGCGAGCUGCCAGAAGACUACCCGUGCCCCGGUGACGGUAUAUGCAGGAACACGGACGGAGGGUUCGACUGCGAAUGCCCGCCAGGAACCCAUGGGAACGCAUCGUCUCCCGGUGGAUACUGCAUCCCUUUCGCCUCAGUCAAAGGGUCAGGCGGUCCUAGCUGCAACAGGUCAUGCGGAGACGUGGCCGUGCCGUACCCGUUCGGCAUCGGCCCGGAGUACUGCUACCGUCCAGGUUUCAACCUCACCUGCGACUAUGGAAGCAGCAGCAGCAGCGAUCAACCCCCACGGCUGCUGCUCGACGGCUACGGGGCCUUCCAAGUCCAAAACAUCUCCAUCGAGAACGCCACAGUGAGCGUCACCAGCUCCGUCACCGUCAUCGACGCCGUCUCCAGACGUCCUUACUCAUUCCAUCUCGGUGAUUAUUUCACGGGCCAUGGGGACGCGUUCUACUCAUUAUCGGCCGGCAACGAGUACUACCAAUUGUCGGCCCGCAACGAGCUCAUCCUCGUGGGGUGUAACGUCCAGGCGACAUUGCUUGGGGGUUCGAGCAUCAUCACUGGCUGCGCCACCUUCUGCUCUGAGGACGAACCUGAAAGGAUGCCAAUUGCAAACAACGGCGGCGACAACAAGAACUGCUAUGGCGUGGGCUGCUGCCAGGCGCACAUCUCUUCGUCCAAGGACGACAUGUCCAACGAGCUGAGGCUCAUCUUCAGAUUCGCCGAUCACGAGCAAGAUGUGUUGCGGCCCCCUUACGCGCUGAUCGCGGAGCAGGGGUGGUUCGACAACCGCAACGUCACCCACCAGCAGGUGCAGGCGCUUGGACACAACUCAAGGUCUGCGCCCAAGGUUCCUUUGGUUUUACACUGGGAGGUGUUGCAAUCGGCAGGCUUACCCGCUGCUGACGCCAACUCGUAUCCCGAUUGUGCUGCGGAGGCGGCUGCCGAUAUCUGCAAGGACAAGCACAGCUUUUGCCUACCAGGGAACAGAGGCUACAGUUGCCAAUGUAUGUUAGGCCACGGUAACCCUUACCUCGUCGACGGUGGCUGCCAAGAUUUAAGUGUGUCGAAUGUUGGUUUAUUUAUCUGGUUUGGAAUUAUCAUUUCUAUGACAUGCAUCCGGAUAUUCUAUUGUUUACUUCAAGUGAAACUAGAUGUUUUGAGGGGAAAUGCGUUAAAACGGAAGUUCUUCAAGCUAAAUCAUGGACAAUUGUUGAAACGGUUGAUAUCUCAAAGGGCUGGUGUUGCAGAAAGAAUGAUAAUGACCUUGAAAGAGCUAGAGAAGGCAACACAAAAUUUUGACAAAGAUCUUGAGGUUGGCAGCGGGGGCCAUGGUACCGUUUACAAAGGAAUUUUACUCGACCAACAUGUUGUAGCCAUCAAGAAACCAAACAAAAUAUUACAGAGAGAGAUUGAUGAAUUUAUCAAUGAGGUUGUCAUCCUAUCACAAAUCAACCAUAGAAAUGUAGUAAAACUCUAUGGUUGCUGCCUUGAAACUGAAGUUCCGAUGUUAGUCUAUGAAUUCAUAUCCAAUGGGACCCUUUAUGAGCAUCUUCAUGUCGAAGAACCAGAAUCACUGUCUUGGAGCAACAGGUUGAGGAUAGUCAUGGAGGCUGCCAAAUCUCUCGCAUAUCUUCACACGGCUGCUUCAACACCUAUCAUCCAUAGAGAUAUCAAGUCUACUAACAUACUUCUGGAUGAUACUCUAACAGCAAAGGUGGCAGAUUUUGGAGCUUCAAAGCAUAUUCCAGUAGAUAUAUCUGGGGUUACAACAAGGGCUCAAGGUACGAGAGGAUACUGGGAUCCUAUGUACUUUUACACAGGGAGACUCACCGAGAAAAGUGAUGUUUACAGCUUUGGAGUUGUCCUUGUGGAACUGCUAACUAGAAAGAAACCAUUUUCAUAUUCAUCCUCAGAAGACGAGGGUCUUGUUGAACAUUUUGUUACCUUGUUUAAAGAAGGCAAUUUGCUCCAGAUAUUAGAUCCACAAGUUAUUGAGGAAGGAGGCAAAGAAGUCCAAGAAGUGUCCUGUAUAGCAGUAGCAUGCGUACAAUUAAGAAGAGAGGAUCGUCCGACCAUGAGAGAAGUGGAGUUGACGCUUGAAGCCGCACACACAUCGAGAAAGCAAACUUUGGAUAUUGCAUUCCCAUCUACAAAAGUCGAAAGCAACAUUAAGGGGUCGACCAGACGACACAGUAUGGAACAAGAGUUCAUAUCAUCUGCAGAGUAUCCUCGGUAG